AUUGAACGCUGGCGGCAGGCCUAACACAUGCAAGUCGAACGGUAACAGGGAUCAGCUUGCUGAUUCGCUGACGAGUGGCGGACGGGUGAGUAAUGUCUGGGAAACUGCCUGAUGGAGGGGGAUAACUACUGGAAACGGUAGCUAAUACCGCAUAACGUCGCAAGACCAAAGAGGGGGACCUUCGGGCCUCUUGCCAUCGGAUGUGCCCAGAUGGGAUUAGCUAGUAGGUGGGGUAACGGCUCACCUAGGCGACGAUCCCUAGCUGGUCUGAGAGGAUGACCAGCCACACUGGAACUGAGACACGGUCCAGACUCCUACGGGAGGCAGCAGUGGGGAAUAGUGCACAAUGGGCGCAAGCCUGAUGCAGCCAUGCCGCGUGUAUGAAGAAGGCCUUCGGGUUGUAAAGUACUUUCAGCGGGGAGGAAGGGAGUAAAGUUAAUACCUUUGCUCAUUGACGUUACCCGCAGAAGAAGCACCGGCUAACUCCG
rnacentral:rRNA from 1 species